AAAACCUGUUGGAUUGGUCUGGAUUUUUUAGAUCCAAAAUUUAAAAUCAGUCAUUUUAUAAUUUCUCCCCUAUAAAAAUCAGUGGUGUCACUUCUGAAUAGAACAAGAAACAAUAGCUAUAUCGUUUAUUUUGCUAUUGUAUAAUUAAAUAGUAAACUCGUCCGCUUGACCACAUAAUUGGACCAAAUUAAUAUCUAAAAAUAAAAAUCAAAUUAAAAUCGCCUUUUUAUCAGGAUAGGAUCGAUCAGGUUAGUCUAAUCCGAAGGUUUUGGAAAGGAAAUGCUAUUUAAAAUGGUGAAAUUUAGUCAUGAAGGGUUUUUAAACAAGAAAAGAUAAAAGAAAAGAAAGAACGAAAGAAUGAGAAGAGAAAAUGACAAGUGGGAGAGGCCCGAGAAGAAGAAGACGUUUGCUGUCUGUCCCUUAAACCUGUCGAGAGGUCUCUUGAGCCCAGUGUUGUCUUCUCCUCUGCGUUGACUCUCUCUCAGUUUAUUUAAAAUCUUCAUUUUUUUUUUGCUUAAACUUUCAUAUUUUCUUAUUUUGUAGUAGUUUAUUUUUUUUAUGUUUUAUAAAUAAAUAACAAACAGUGUUUCAAAAAGGAAGAAGAUAUAAUCGCUUGUGGGAGAGUGAGCAGUGGCGGAGCUACAAAAUUUUUUUCACCGGGGUCAUAAUAUACAAAUUAGAUAUAUGUAUAUUAUUAUCAUAACAAAAAAAAAAAAUUUCAACAGAUUAAUGGGGGCAAAUGAAAAUUUAUACAUAAAUUAGU
rnacentral:lncRNA from 1 species